rnacentral:misc_RNA from 1 species
CCCAACAGCUCCCCCCUAACCCCAACACCACAAAAAUAUAUAUGUAAAGAAAGCAUGCACACACAAGCACUCAUGAAUACACUGGUAACUAAAAAGCUUUGCCAAUACAAGCUCAAAUGAGGUUUGUACAGAAUUGUAGUAAAAUUGCUCAAAUACCCACAUUUAGUAUUGAUUCAUAAUGCACAAUUACUAUCAUAAAGGUUUCGAAUUGCUUUCUUUUCAUAUAAUCCUUAACAAUUCUUAAGCGCCUAAUCACUACUAACCGAAAUGAACACCAAAAAUCAAGUGGAGGUUAAACAACAAAAAGCACAAGAAGAGAGCUUUCAUACAAAUACCAAACAAGGAAUUGGGUCAAUAAUAGACAUAUGAAUUGUUAAGAAGAAGGAAAAACAAAAAGAAAAUGUACGAUUUUUGAGAGAAAUCAAGACAACGUAUGGAAACAGGAAUCAAGAUAGGAUUCUUGAAGGAAGGGACCGAGGCAGAUGGGGCAUGGAUUGGAGUCCCGCGAAGAGGAAGAGUGAUUCUCGUUGCUUUUAGCUUCAUCUUGGUCCAUUGUUUUUCUUGAACUCGCUAGAUUUCUCCUUCUCACUCCAAUGGCGACUUCAACCAUCCAUGGAAAUUAUUAUAAAAUAAAAAUUAAUUAAAUGUAAAUAUUUUUAAUAAAUAUAAACAUUGCUUUUAACAUUUUACAAUUUCAAUCAUAAUUUUAUUAUUUACUUUUCAAAAAGGGACUUAGAGCAGAGAAUUGAGAAAGUAGAACCUGAAAUCAAAAUAUGCCAAAUAAAUUCUACAUAGUUUAAAAGAAAUUACGUCAGAUGAGCUUCACACUGUUUAAAAAAAAAAUACUAUGUGACAUAAAUAGUAAUUUAUUUAAUAACUUACUAAUAUAUUUUUAUUUGAUAUACAUUGAAAAAGUAAAAUUCAUUAAUUUGAAUAAUAAUUUAGAAAUAUGAGUUAUUU